GAGUUUGAUCCUGGCUCAGAUUGAACGCUGGCGGCAGGCCUAACACAUGCAAGUCGAGCGGAAACGAGUUAACUGAACCUUCGGGGAACGUUAACGGCGUCGAGCGGCGGACGGGUGAGUAAUGCCUGGGAAAUUGCCCUGAUGUGGGGGAUAACCAUUGGAAACGAUGGCUAAUACCGCAUAAUAGCUUCGGCUCAAAGAGGGGGACCUUAGGGCCUCUCGCGUCAGGAUAUGCCCAGGUGGGAUUAGCUAGUUGGUGAGGUAAUGGCUCACCAAGGCGACGAUCCCUAGCUGGUCUGAGAGGAUGAUCAGCCACACUGGAACUGAGACACGGUCCAGACUCCUACGGGAGGCAGCAGUGGGGAAUAUUGCACAAUGGGCGCAAGCCUGAUGCAGCCAUGCCGCGUGUAUGAAGAAGGCCUUCGGGUUGUAAAGUACUUUCAGCAGUGAGGAAGGUGGGUAUGUUAAUAGCAUACUCAUUUGACGUUAGCUGCAGAAGAAGCACCGGCUAACUCCGUGCCAGCAGCCGCGGUAAUACGGAGGGUGCGAGCGUUAAUCGGAAUUACUGGGCGUAAAGCGCAUGCAGGUGGUUUGUUAAGUCAGAUGUGAAAGCCCGGGGCCUCAACCUCGGAAUUGCAUUUGAAACUGGCAAACUAGAGUACUGUAGAGGGGGGGUAGAAAUUUCCAGGUGUAGGGUGAAAUGCGUANAAGAUUCUGAAAGGAAUACCGGUGGAGAAUGCCGACCCCCUNGNACUAGAU
rnacentral:rRNA from 1 species